UACGUAGGGUGCGAGCGUUGUCCGGAAUUAUUGGGCGUAAAGAGCUCGUAGGCGGUUUGUCGCGUCUGCUGUGAAAAUCCGGGGCUCAACCCCGGACUUGCAGUGGGUACGGGCAGACUAGAGUGUGGUAGGGGAGACUGGAAUUCCUGGUGUGGCGGUGGAAUGCGCAGAUAUCAGGAGGAACACCGAUGGCGAAGGCAGGUCUCUGGGCCACUACUGACGCUGAGAAGCGAAAGCAUGGGGAGCGAACAGG
rnacentral:rRNA from 1 species